UAAAAAUUAGUUUAGUAAAAAUAAAAGAUUGCAAGUCUUUAGAAAAAUAAUAUUUAUUUUUUU
rnacentral:tRNA from 1 species